UACAGUUUAGUGCAGAUAAAAUAGCCGAAUAAUGAAUUUGUUUGUUAAGAGAGAAUAAUUUUUGAACAGAAACCUUGGCUGACACGGACUCUCGGGUAACGCGAAUCGUUCAAGAUUUAGUAUUUUCCUGAAAGAAAAGACCACAUUCGAACUCGAGUUAUGUGAUGCUGUUGUCGAGGUAACUUACAGAAACUUAAAUUUUUUAGGCUGAUUCUAAUGCAUCACUCAACUUCAGUACAAGUGAAAAGUAUAUAUGCCCGAGGCGGUUGACAGGAGUUUUACUGUGACUAUUUUGAUCGCAAAGAACUUCACAGUUGAGCUUCAUUGGACUAAUGCAAUUUUCUCUUCCGCCAGUUAUCAACACAAUCUCGGCCUUACAUGUUUGUCCAAAAUAAAAACUUAACAUUCGAUAGAACAGAGAUUUUAGUAGUCUUUGUCUUAGAUCUACCUUAACUUCGUUUACAUUCGUUUUCCUUCGGUAAUUGUUUUCGACAGUUUUAGAUACAAUAUCCACUAGUGAGAAUAUUUUAUAACAGAAGCAAAACGCUUCUCCAAUACACUAGGAUCAUAUUAUCUUCUGAUAUUGUGGUGGUUCUUGUUGAAUUUACUGUACUGUUUUAGCUCCUAGCGAGAGCUGCGCUCAGGAUUGCUUUGUUAUGAGAAAAAAAAAUCUUUUUAAGUGAUUUGGACAAGAGAAAACACUGUGCACCUUAAUCAGCAUAAUGGUAAAAAUACCAAGGUAUCUCGGGAGGAACAUGUUACAUCAACUCUGAGGGUGCUUUCACGCGAGAAUGAUCGUGACGCUAAAGAAAGCAGCGUUUAAAUCAUCAAGUAAUCCUUAGAGUAUUCACAAAGUGAUAGCAUAGCCAACAUUUGAGUGGAAUUACAAAUAUUGGGCCAUGCAAGACUUCCAGGACAAACACUCUCCCGAAAUAUUGUCCUACAAACGUUUACAAACUCGAAAAGAAAUGGUCUGGCGUAGUUGAUUAAUUUUAUCAGCCCCAAGCGAUUAUAAACAGUUGAUAAUCUCUUUAUCAGCCCCUGUAGCUGCUUAUGGCAAACUUGCAGAACAGAUUUCAUUGGAGGUGCAGUUUUAUUAUAGAAAAGAAAAACGUCCAGCAGAUGACCGAUACACUUUUCCAGAGGUGUCCGUAUGGAACAUUUUGCAAAAUACCUACAAGGACGUGAAUUUUCCCCAAAAUAUUUGAGAGGAUGCGCGAAAAACACUCACACUUUUCACUGCCUGUAAUACUUGCUCAUCACUAUUACUCAGUUACAUAUUGAGAACAGGAACCUCUCCAUCAAGUGCAGUUACGAGGGAGAGAUAUUUUGCCGCCAAGAUAAGUAUGUGUGUGUGUGAA